rnacentral:rRNA from 2 species
CGCGGUAAUUCCAGCUCCAAUAGCGUAUACUAAAGUGUUGCAGUUAAAAAGCUCGUAGUUGGAUUUCUGGCGGGGACGGCUGGUCGGUCUCGAAAGGGGCUGUACUGUUGUUGGUUCCCGUCAUCCUUGGGGAGAGCGGCUCUUACAUUAAGUUGUCGGCGUCGGGAUCCCUAUCUUUUACUGUGAAAAAAUUAGAGUGUUCAAAGCAGGCUUAGGCCCUGAAUACAUUAGCAUGGAAUAAUAAGAUACGACCUUGGUGGUCUAUUUUGUUGGUUUGCACGCCAAGGUAAUGAUUAAUAGGGAUAGUUGGGGGUAUUCGUAUUCAAUUGUCAGAGGUGAAAUUCUUGGAUUUAUGGAAGACGAACUACUGCGAAAGCAUUUACCAAGGAUGUUUUCAUUAAUCAAGAACGAAAGUUAGGGGAUCGAAGAUGAUUAGAUACCAUCGUAGUCUUAACCAUAAACUAUGCCGACUAGGGAUCGGUGGGUGCAUUUUUAGGCCUCAUCGGCACCUUAUGAGAAAUCAAAGUCUUUGGGUUCCGGGGGGAGUAUGGUCGCAAGGCUGAAACUUAAAGAAAUUGACGG